AGUCGUAACAAGGUUUCCGUAGGUGAACCUGCGGAAGGAUCAUUAAAGAGUAAGGGUGCUCAGCGCCCGACCUCCAACCCUUUGUUGUUAAAACUACCUUGUUGCUUUGGCGGGACCGCUCGGUCUCGAGCCGCUGGGGAUUCGUCCCAGGCGAGCGCCCGCCAGAGUUAAACCAAACUCUUGUUAUUUAACCGGUCGUCUGAGUUAAAAUUUUGAAUAAAUCAAAACUUUCAACAACGGAUCUCUUGGUUCUCGCAUCGAUGAAGAACGCAGCGAAAUGCGAUAAGUAAUGUGAAUUGCAGAAUUCAGUGAAUCAUCGAAUCUUUGAACGCACAUUGCGCCCCUUGGUAUUCCGAGGGGCAUGCCUGUUCGAGCGUCAUUACACCACUCAAGCUAUGCUUGGUAUUGGGCGUCGUCCUUAGUUGGGCGCGCCUUAAAGACCUCGGCGAGGCCACUCCGGCUUUAGGCGUAGUAGAAUUUAUUCGAACGUCUGUCAAAGGAGAGGAACUCUGCCGACUGAAACCUUUAUUUUUCUAGGUUGACCUCGGAUCAGGUAGGGAUACCCGCUGAACUUAAGCAUAUCAAUAA
rnacentral:misc_RNA from 1 species